GACAGAGGGUGCAAACGUUGUUCGGAAUUACUGGGCGUAAAGCGCGUGUAGGCGGCCAUCUAAGUCGGGCGUGAAAUCCCACGGCUACAACCGUGGAAGUGCACUCGAAACUGGAUGGCUAGAGUCCUGGAGAGGAAGGUGGAAUGCUUGGUGUAGAGGUGAAAUUCGUAGAUAUCAAGCGGAACACCGGUGGCGAAGGCGGCAUCCUGGACCGAGAUUGACACUGAUGAGCGAAAGCUAGGGGAGCAAACGGGAUUAAG
rnacentral:rRNA from 1 species